AACUUUUGGCAACGGAUCUCUUGGCUCUCGCAUCGAUGAAGAACGCAGCGAAAUGCGAUACGUAAUGUGAAUUGCAGAAUUCACUGAAUCAUCGAAUCUUUGACCGCACCUUGCGCCCUUUGGCAUUCCGAGGGGCACACCCGUUUGAGUGUCGUGACAUUCUCAAAAACCUUCUUGGUUUCUUGACCAGGAAGGCUUUUGGACUUUGGAGGCUUUUGCUGGCCUUCCUUUGUUGAAGCCUGCUCCUCUGAAAUGUAUUACUGGGGUCUGCUUGCCCUACCCUUGACGAUAUGAUGUUUGCAACGUUCCGGGUUUUGCACUGUUCCUGCUUCUAACCGUCUCAUAGAAGACAAAGGUCAAAUGAUUGCCACUUGACCCACUAACCUUGACCUCACAUCGGGUGAGACUACCCGCUGAACUUAAGCAUAUCAAUAAGCGGGGGCU
rnacentral:misc_RNA from 1 species